UUAAAUCUCCAUUGGUUACCUAAGCUUCCCAUCGAUGUUCUGGUUGUGAUCUCAUGAGCUAGUCUGUUUCCCUCUCUCGGCGUCCAGCUGAAGCUGCUUCACCCAUUUCUCUACAAAAGGACGCAUCUAUAUUUAUUUUUAGCCAAUCUUUCGGUGGAGGUCUCCAGGUUUUAUGUCU